rnacentral:misc_RNA from 1 species
ACCCAGUUUCCUUUCAAAUAACACGGAAAUCCAACAGUUAGAAUCUUACUCUUAGAAAAAUGUCAAUACCUUCAUGCUCGUUGUCCUUGUAUAUAAAUGAACUAGUCAGUUAUUUUACAUCUCUAAGAUGAAAAUGAAAUUACUAUGUACUAUAAUGAUAUCAUAUUUAAGUAGAUUUCCUCUUUCAGCAAGUGUUAUGUACACAUUAGAAUCAGUGUUUACUUGUUUACUGUAGGGUAAUAAUUAAUGUGUCUGUGUUGAUCAGUGUUUUCCUCUUGUGUAUGUUUAUGUACAUGUAGUUUGUUUUUACACAUUUAUUUUGCAAGCUUAAAACUUAUUAAGUCGAUGAUUUAUUGGGUUUUUUGGUAUUUUAUAUGCUUCAUUGUAUAUUUUUGAUAAUGGUUAUGAACCAUUUUCAUAUACAUGUAAAAUGUGUCUAUUUUAUCAAAAAUGAUGUUUAUUCAAUUACAAAAUAAUUUAUACAUCUCUCAUCAUCUUUAUGAUUUAUACAUUUUCUUUUGUAUUCAUGAUUUCGUCUAGGUCUUUAUUAUCUCAAACGUCUCAUUUGACAAAUGUAUCAGUCCAUUUUAAUUGAUCCUGAUUUUAAUAACUCCCUCAAACAUACUAUCGGUACACAAAAUAAACAAGUGCAUGUAUCAUAUACAGUAUUUCCAUGAUUUGGUUUUUCUUUUCAUUAUUUGUUGUCAUAUGAUAAAAUUAAAAUGCAAAAUGCUUAUAUCAGGAUUUGCAAUAAUAAG